GUGCUCACUUGGGCAGCACGUAUACUAAAAUUGGAACGAUACAGAGAUUAGCAUUGUCCCUGCACGAGGAUGACACGCACAUUCGUGAAGCGUUCCAUAUUAUA
rnacentral:snRNA from 1 species